rnacentral:rRNA from 1 species
AUGACUCCGACCCCGCGUGCGCCGACUUCGCGUCGCCAUCCAGCACCCGGCCUCCCGCGGCUGUGCGCGCGCCGACUCCCCCACCCGUCCAGCUUCGCGCGCGCCGGCCUCCCGCCCUCCGCGCGACCCGGCCCGGCCGGCUCCGCGCAUCCCGGGUUCGGCUCCCCCCGCGCCGACUCGCCGCCUCGCCCGCCCGCCGGCUCCCGCGGGCCGGCUUCGCCUUGCUUCGGCCGCCUUGCCCCGCUGGCCGGCGUCCGCCUCGUCGCUCCUCCAUGCGGCCGAGUGCCCCAAGCCCGCACCGGCUCCCCUCGCUCAUCGCCUGCCGACUCGCCGCCCCACGGGCCGGCCUCCGCGCGGUCGCGCCGCUUCGCCCGCAUCGCCUCGCGUCGCCCCGCCGACUCUGGCCGCGCGCCGGCUCCUUCAGCCCUCGCCGCGCCGGCUUCACCGGUGACCCGGCCUGACGGCUCCCCCCAACUCGGACGACUGGCUCCGCCGCCUGCCGUCUCCGUCGCCACCCGGCCGGCUCCGCCACGUGCCGGCCCCGCCCGGCGACCCGGCCGCUUGCCGGCCCCGCCCGCAUCCCGGCUAGCCGGCUCCUCCCGCAGGUCGGCUGGCCACGCCCGUGCGGACUGCGCUGUGCAAGCUCCUCUGCCGGCUGGAGCAAAAGAGAAAGAAGAAAAGUCAAGCCGGCAAAAAAAAAGAAGAGAGAGAAGGAAAGAAGAGGUCGGCUGGGACAAAGAAAAGGAAAAACUCCGUCUAUCCGUCCGCCUGCUUCGUCACUCGGACGCGACCUGGCCUGCCGGUCCGCCUCGACGCCUGGCUGGUCGAACCUCGGCCCGAGUCUCGGGGGCUACACCCGGCGGGUGCGAUGACGCGCCCCCGCGAGGAGAGAAGACAGAGUAG